rnacentral:misc_RNA from 1 species
GAUGAAGAACGUAGCGAAAUGCGAUACUUGGUGUGAAUUGCAGAAUCCCGUGAACCAUCGAGUCUUUGAACGCAAGUUGCGCCCGAAGCCAUUAGGCCGAGGGCACGCCUGCCUGGGUGUCACACGUCGUUGCCCCCCCAUCUACUCCUUCGGGAUUGCGGGGGGCGGAUGAUGGCCUCCCGUGCGCCUCGUCGCGCGGUUGGCAUAAAUGCCAAGUCCUCGGCGACGCACGCCACGACAAUCGGUGGUUGCGAAACCUCGGUUGCCCGUCGUGUGCGGUCGUCGCGCAUCGAGGGCUCGAAAAAAUUGCCGGGCUCCGGCUCGGCUUUCAACGCGACCCCAGGUCAGGCGGGGUUACCCGCUGAAUUUAAGCAUAUAAUAAGCGGAGGA